CAAAAGCCAAAAGGGCAGUUGAUGUAGCUGUUGCUUCACAUCUUUUGAGAAAAAACAAAAGCAGAAGCACGAGUCUGGAUGAGAAAACAGUUGGGGAGAUGCGAUCAACACGUGUUGUCUAUUCUUCAGAACUGGAGAUCAUACUGACCUGCAGUGUCAGCCGCCUCCCUGAUGGCAGCGAUGUGGCACUGCACUUUCUCUCUGUGGAUCUCCUCUCCAGUUUGUCUGCGACUCUCGUUUCCUGCGGAAACCACCUGGGCCAAUAAUGAGUUUCUUAUAAAAAGACAAGUCGCUUGCAGGUCUGCUGCUCAGCUGGACGUUCACGAGCCUGGAGACAGCAGCCGGAUGAUUCUGCAGAGCUGCAGGAAGAAUUUUUAUUUUCAUAGGGUUUUUUACAUGUAAAAGUCUUAUCCCUACACUUAUCCCUAUAUAUAUCAUCAUAAAGAACUCCAGAUGCCAAAACACUGGAGGUGAAAAGCACCAAAACAUGUAAAUCUGUAAGAUGCUUAACUCCCACACAGCACCUGUUCUCUCUGUCUGUGACUCAGCCAAUCUGCCGGCUCCGUUACACCGGCUAACAUCCUCUGUGUGUGUCUCUGAGGAGUCAUAAAGAAACCAAGCCACUGUGAUGACGCCAUUAUCCUCCACCUGGAACAGAAGAACUCCCCAUUUCACUGCCCGAGACUACAAAACAAUACAUACAAAACAAAAGAAAACCGCAAAGAGCCUGAAGCGUCAGUCUGGUUGCUUUUAGCAUGAAAAGGCUGCAGCUGGACUUGAAACUGAUUGCAGAACUUGUACAUUCAUUUAUUAUGGCUGACAAUGCUGACAAAAGUACAAUUUAUGUGUGUCUCUUUACAGCAGUGCUGCGUCUUAAUUUUCUCCUUUGGUCACAAUGAGUUAUAGUUUAUUGCUGUGUAUUUGCCUGUCCGUCUUUACACCGCCAGUUUGCCACCAUGUGAGCAAAAAAAUCCCAUCAAUUCUGCUUCAGUUUUCCAUUGAUGUCAGCACUGGACUUUUG